GAUGAACGCUGGCGGCGUGCCUAAUACAUGCAAGUCGAGCGAACAGAUGAGGAGCUUGCUCCUCUGACGUUAGCGGCGGACGGGUGAGUAACACGUGGAUAACCUACCUAUAAGACUGGGAUAACUUCGGGAAACCGGAGCUAAUACCGGAUAAUAUAUUGAACCGCAUGGUUCAAUAGUGAAAGACGGUUUUGCUGUCACUUAUAGAUGGAUCCGCGCCGCAUUAGCUAGUUGGUAAGGUAACGGCUUACCAAGGCAACGAUGCGUAGCCGACCUGAGAGGGUGGUCGGCCACACUGGAACUGAGACACGGUCCAGACGCCUGCGGGAGGCAGCAGUAGGGAAUCUUCCGCAAUGGGCGGAAGCCUGACGGAGCGACGCCGCGUGAGUGAUGAAGGUCUUCGGAGCGUAAAACUCUGUUAUUAGGGAAGAACAAAUGUGGAAGGAACUAUGCACGGCUUGACGGUACCUAAUCAGAAAGCCACGGCUAACUACGUG
rnacentral:rRNA from 1 species